rnacentral:lncRNA from 1 species
AGAGCUUACAAGAUCUCACCAUGCCUUCUUGGCAAGGAAGCUCCAAGAUAAAGGAUGAAGAUGCCUGCUGCUUCAGACUUGGAGGAACAAAAGGCCUGGCAUGAAAGUAAAGGUACUUCAGAGCAAGGAAUGCAUUUGACAGGGAAUGUAAGUUCCCCUCUGAAGCCUGCUUGACCAUCGAUUGGGCUGGCACAGUGUGGAC